rnacentral:snRNA from 1 species
GGAUGUGAGGGCAUUCUGACUGAGACACCACUCACCCCAAUGAUCGCCAUUGUUGAUGCAGCUGAUCUUGCUGGCCAGGCGGGUGUCUCCUUCUUCCCUCACUCCUCCACAUGUGUCCCUCCCGAAGCUGCGUGUUAGGCUUUAGAGGAUGACCUUCCCCAAAUAGACGGACCAAUCUUUGGAUGUCUGAGUAGCUGUACUCCUCUGCUAGAACCUCCAAACAAGCUCUGAAGCACCUACCAUCUUGUCCUGUUGGUCCCCCUCCUCCCCAUCUAGGACUUAUUUUCAGAAAUAAUGUUUCU